GAUUGAUUCAGUUAUUAAAAGUGGUUAUUAUAGGAUUACGGUUAGAAUGUAGAAAUUAGUAGCAAUUAUAUAAGAGUUAUAGAAGUUUGUUGGAGGGCCAGACUGUGAUAGUCAUGAGCAGGGAUUAAGCUUGGUGCUUCUUCUUUGUUUCUUUUAUUUUCUUUGUUAUUGAAGAAUAAUGGAUAGUUUUUGAAUAGUGAGAAGUGAGUCUGUGGAAUAAAUCAGAGAUUGAUUUAUGAGUUAUUGAUUAUGUAAUUAGAGUACUGAGUGAUUGAAUUAUAUGAGAAAUUAUUGGAAGAUUGAUUAUGGAUGGAAGAUUAUAAUUGUUAUUUAUUGAGAGUUGUGUAUGUAUUUCGAUAGAGGAAGUCUGAGAUUACAGGAAUUCUAUGAAUUUAGAUUGGUUGGAGUGAACUUUGUAAUUCCUAGUGUUAGAUAGAAUUUA
rnacentral:lncRNA from 1 species